rnacentral:rRNA from 1 species
UGGGGAAUUUUGGACAAUGGGCGCAAGCCUGAUCCAGCCAUGCCGCGUGCGGGAAGAAGGCCUUCGGGUUGUAAACCGCUUUUGUCAGGGAAGAAAUCUUCUGAGUUAAUACCUCGGGAGGAUGACGGUACCUGAAGAAUAAGCACCGGCUAACUACGUGCCAGCAGCCGCGGUAAUACGUAGGGUGCAAGCGUUAAUCGGAAUUACUGGGCGUAAAGCGUGCGCAGGCGGUUUUGUAAGACAGAGGUGAAAUCCCCGGGCUCAACCUGGGAACUGCCUUUGUGACUGCAAGGCUUGAGUGCGGCAGAGGGGGGCAUGGAAUUCCGCGUGUAGCAGUGAAAUGCGUAGAUAUGCGGAGGAACACCGAUGGCGAAGGCAAUCCCCUGGGCCUGCACUGACGCUCAUGCACGAAGCGUGGGGAGCAAACAGGAUUAGAUACCCUGGUAGUCCACGCCCUAAACGAUGUCAACU